rnacentral:snRNA from 1 species
GACUUUGCGCAGUGGCAGUAUCGUAGCCAAUGAGGUUUAUCCGAGGCGCGAUUAUUGCUAAUUGAAGACUUUGUCCUGACUCGGCUCCCUCCCCCACCCUAAAUCAACUUCCGGCUGAUGGUGGAGAAUGCCCAGUUCUUGAAGGGCCCGCUGUC